rnacentral:rRNA from 1 species
GAUGAACGCUGGCGGCGUGCCUAAUACAUGCAAGUCGAGCGAACAGACGAGGAGCUUGCUCCUCUGACGUUAGCGGCGGACGGGGGAGUAACACGUGGAUAACCUACCUAUAAGACUGGGAUAACUUCGGGAAACCGGAGCUAAUACCGGAUAAUAUAUUGAACCGCAUGGUUCAAUAGUGAAAGACGGUUUUGCUGUCACUGAUAGAUGGAUCCGCGCCGCAUUAGCUAGUUGGUAAGGUAACGGCUUACCAAGGCAACGAUGCGUAGCCGACCUGAGAGUGUGAUCGUCCACACUGGAACUGAGACACGGUCCAGACUCCUACGGGAGCCAGCAGUAGGGAAUCUUCCGCAAUGGGCGAAAGCCUGACGGAGCAACGCCGCGUGAGUGAUGAAGGUCUUCGGAUCGUAAAACUCUGUUAUUAGGGAAGACCAAAUGUGUAAGUAACUAUGCACGUCUUGACGGUACCUAAUCAGAAAGCCACGGCUAACUACGUG